UCUUUUCUGAAAACUAGCCCGAAGGCUCUUUGAAAAUAUCAGUUUCCAUUCUCUUUAAAUGUGAAAACAUUUUAUACUCUCUCACCGUCUCCGUCACACUUCUCUCACUGCCACACCUCACGUCGCACCUCUCCGCCACAACUCUCAUCGUCACUACCUCACAACUCUAUAAACUUCAGCCACUCACCAUAUUCGGAAUGGGAUUGGAGUUCUAGGAUAAUGUUUUUGACUUCUCAUCUAUUUGAAAAAUGAACUCACGUCACCUCUUUGGAUUUUCUCAUCUGAAUCUUCACAAAUCUAAGAAGACUCUGAGAAGCUUGUACGUCCUGCACAAUGGCGUUUAUAUGUAGUUCUCAUUGUUGUUGUCGUCUUAGAAUUUUCUGUUGUUGAGGGACCUAUAGGGGAUAUAGCCAUAACUUAUCCACAGGAGUAAAGCUUGAGAAGGAAGAUGGUGGUAUUCCAAGGGUCAAACAAUUUGUAGAGACAAGACGUGCAAAUUAUAUGCAUGGUUUAUUCAGGAAAUUACAGAAAGACUUGAGGAGCAUUCACGGUCUCAUCCCUUUGAUGAGAUUGUAAAGGGUGGUUAUCAGUGGAGGAAUAUGAAUGUUGGAAUGUUGACCUGGACAGAAUUGAUUUUCUUCUGAUCAAUGAACUUCUCAUAGUGAAGAAGCAUCUUACUAGAUGUCCAAGUCUUCUAUUUUUGGAAAUUUGCUAGAAAUCUAUAUAACACAAAUGGAUUGGAAAAAUAUUAGGAUAUUACUUUUAAUACGGUAACUUGCUGGAUAUUACCUUUUAUACAAUAACUUGUUGGAUAUUACUUUUUAUCUUGUAACUGUUUUGGUUGUUGCUAGUAAUAUCAUUACUUGUAAUUUAUGGUUGUUUGAACUAUUAUUGUCUUAAUAAGCUUUAGAGCAA